rnacentral:tRNA from 1 species
UGGGCUGUGGCUCAGCAGUAGAGCACUUGCCUACCAAGCUUGAGGCACUGGGUUCAAUCCCGGGCACCACAU